AUGACUCUCGGCAACGGAUAUCUCGGCUCUCGCAUCGAUGAAGAACGUAGCGAAAUGCAAUACUUGGUGUGAAUUGCAGAAUCCCGUGAACCAUCGAGUUUUUGAACGCAAGUUGCGCCCGAAGCCGUUAGGCUAAGGGCACGUUUGCCUGGGCGUCGUA
rnacentral:rRNA from 1 species